GCGAGAAAUGUCACUUUCGCGAUCCGCAAAGUGCGCGAUCAACAAACCCGCGUCACGCUUGCGAUAACGCUCACCCGUGCCAUACGAUACGCGAGCACUGCUCGCGAAUUCCACGAAAGGCACGCGUCGUUCUGCGCGCGGUGGGAGCCCUCUCGUCGCGUUUCUCGGCGCAAUUUUCGGAUCGCGACAGUGCGGUGCACUGUGGGCCAGCAAUGGUGAGCGCGUGAUUUUGAACAAUUCGAGCUAUCGAAGGAACGCGCAGGGAUCAUCGUCAUGUCCACUAAUAAGGGACAGAAUGCGAGGGCCUUGGUGGAACCUAUAGCUUUGGACUCGCGUACUCUAGGAGACAAUGAUCUCAGCGCACUAAGCUUGUCCCAUAAUAGCGAGCAGUACACAUCAAAUGACUUCGAUGCCUUCGCGAAUAUUCAAGCAGAACUUGAAUGCAUGAACGCGGACGAAGUUAUGACAGCGGCCGACGACCGGAUAAUAAUCGAGCGGAACGUUGAGACUGAAACGAUAGUACCUGAUGUGGAGAUGACCGAGAUCUCUGAGCAAGUGCAGGCUGAACACGUUUACUCGACGGCCAAUCAGAGCAACCAGAAUGUCGUAUUUCAAACGAAGCCCACACUGCAAAGAGUACCCGCGUCGGCUGUCCAGGUAAAACCAAGUAUUCAAGCUACGCAAAGUCAAUCAAUUAUGAUAGUGUCACCUGCAAGCGGACAAGGCACUAGCCAAAUACUGAAGAUAUCACAUCCGCCAACAGCUUCGGCCGAACAGUUGCAGUCCUUAGCUCAGACUCUCAUAACCGGCAAGUCCGCGGAUGGAAGCGUCGUUCAACUAAGGUCAACUCAGCCUGCUAAAUCUAUCGCGACAACUAGUGCCUCAGGAAACAUCACAAUUAGUAACAUGCAAAAUCUUAAGAUAACGCAGCCAACGUUGAAACGAGCAACACAAAAUGUCCAACAAGGACGCAAUGUAUACACAAAAAUGAUAUUGACAGGAAAUCAGCCGCAGCCUGGUACUCAUCAAGUUCUCAUUACAAGUUCCCAAAGUGAAAAUCAGUCGAGCUCAGGAAUCAAAUUCCUCAAUAAUAGCUCUUCUAGUUAUGGUAUAACAAGCCCGACGAAAACUAUAACGUUAGCACAGGCCCAACAAAUGGGUAUACUCUCUACCAAUAAAGUGCAACACAUUUUACCAUCAUCCUCGCAAAAGCAGGGUAUGAUAUUGAAUAAGCUAUUACAAACCUCGACAUCGCAACAAUCUAAGGUGACCAUAGUACCUACCAAUACUGCAAAGUCAAUGCCGACCAAAAUCCUACCUGCACCAAUUACGAAUAUUCAGGCCAAAUCCUCGAAUCAGCAAUCCACAUUUAUUUCAUCUAAGUCGUCCGUGCAGCAAAGUCCACAGAAAGUCAUCAUCAGACAGAGUUCUUUGAAACCUGGCACUGUACUUGGAAGUGGUCAAGUAAUUAGAAUACCUGCUAACCAGAAUAUUGUAACUGGAUCAAAUCAAGUCCAUCAAAUUCAGAUGCCUGGAAGACACGUGCAAUAUGUAAGAUUAGUCAGUACUUCAACAGGGACUACCAAUGUUGUUACUGUAAGCAAAUCAAAACCUGCUACGACUCUUCAGACUGUAGGUAUCAGUCAGAAAGUAGGAAGUCAACAGCAGAUUGUAAAGGUUGUGCCGUUAAAUACUGGCAAUCAAUCUCUAAGAACUGUCGCACCGAAAGCAACGUUGACAAGUGGCAGCCAAAAACUACUUAUACCUGCGGCGGCUGCUGCUGCGGCAGCUGUUGGCAAUCAGUCGAAGAGUGCGGUAGCAAUUCCAGCAUCAGCAUUGAGUCAGUUAGCGUCAGGACAGGCAGUUCUGUCGGCUAAUCCGAGCGUCGGGAACAUCGUCGUCCUUCCUGCUCAAUAUAUUCAGCAACAGCAGUCAACAGAUGACGGAAAAUUGAAGUCCCAAACAACGUCCGGUCUUCUAGGAAGUUCACAAAGCUCUACAACAACUCUAUGCGUGAUUGAUGGAAAGAAUUCUCAAAGAGGGACUUAUAGUACUGUCGAACCGAAUGGUAUCAGGCCAAGAAAACCUUGCAAUUGCACUAAGUCACAGUGUCUUAAACUUUAUUGCGAUUGUUUUGCGAAUGGCGAGUUUUGUCAUAUGUGCAACUGCAACAAUUGCUCGAACAAUCUUGGAAACGAGGAGGAGAGACAACGCGCGAUUAAAUCCUGUCUUGAACGCAAUCCUAAUGCCUUCCGUCCUAAAAUUGGAAAAGGUCGUGAGACUGGUGAUGAUAUAAGGAGACACAACAAAGGCAAAAAUUCCGUGCUCAGCGAAUUGUAAGUGUAUUGGUUGUCGCAACAUCGAAGAUCCAAUACUGGAAAAAAAAUCCUUAAAGGAUUUAACGGAAACAACCGAAGUCAGAACGACUCAACUUAGUUUAAACAAAGCACAGCUACAAUUGUCAGAGAUGGCUUUUAGACCUCCGGCUGUAUCUAACACCGGUACAAGACAACCAUUCAAUUUUUUAACGGACAAAGUAGUAGAUAUAACAUGUCAAUGUUUAAUGGCGCAAGCAGACGAAGCAGAGCGUAACAUGCUCGAUGAUGAGACGUCACAACGUCUCAUUAUCGAAGAGUUUGGUCGCUGUUUAAAGGAAAUAAUCGAAUCAGCGCAUAAAGCUGAAGCUACCUAGCAG
rnacentral:misc_RNA from 1 species